CUAUUAAGCCUUAAACGUGUCUGGAAGAGAACAUUUAGCCAAAUGUGGAAUAACAUGCAAGUUGAGUAUUAAAGUGGAGUGCUGACAGGAUCAAGAUAUAAUGAGCUGUUUGUGUGUGAGAUGAUCCUGUUUUCUUUCCUGAGAGCGAUAACAUCCACGGCAAUGGGUGAAAACAACAUCAGGGCGAUGCUGACGUGUUCAGGGAGUCAGAUUCUCACCAGCUCCUUCCUGUUUUUCCCAACGAGGUCUUUGUUUGGCCGCACGACUCCCUGCUCCACGGUUCUCAAGGGAAUGAU